rfam:Salmo salar isolate Sally breed double haploid chromosome ssa15, whole genome shotgun sequence.
GUCCGUGUUGCUCAGUUGGUAGAGCAUGGCACUUGCAAUGCCAGGGUUGUCGGUUCAAUUCUCACAAGGGACC